rnacentral:rRNA from 1 species
UACAGAGGGGGCAAGCGUUAUUCGGAAUUAUUGGGCGUAAAGGGCGCGUAGGCGGCCUGGCAAGUGGAAGGUGAAAUCCCUCGGCUUAACCGAGGAACUGCCCUCCAAACUGCUUGGCUUGAGUCCGGGAGAGGUGAGUGGGAAUUCCCAGUGUAGCGGUGAAAUGCGUAGAUAUUGGGAGGAACACCAGUGGCGAAGGCGGCUCACUGGACCGGAACUGACGCUGAGGCGCGAAAGCGUGGGGAGCAAACGGG